GGGCUGGGAGAGCAGAGCUGGGAUCUGACAGGGCAGAACUGGGGCCUGGCACAGCCUCAGAUUCCUCCUGCACCUGAGGAGCCAAGUCCUCCUCCACGUCCUCCAAGUCCUCCUCAUUGCUAGCCAUGACACGCUGGAAGGGGGAAGCACACUUCCGAUUGUCCAAUGGCUGUAGAAAAUGUCAACCUGAUGAAAGCGGAACCGUUUGAUUGACAGCAAAGGCACCUUCAUUUCAAACCAGUACCUGCAAAUGUGAACUCUCCGGAAGAGCUUCAAGGGCAUUCAAGGUUUAAUUACCCUGAUUGAGGCUGGGAAGAAACAAGCAUCAUUUCUGAGAUACUAUUUCCCCCUUCAGCAAUGUAUGAAAGCACAAAACUGGAGAUUUUAAUAAAAACACCCCAAGUGAUAAAGCAAACUCUGGGUGGCUCAUAUAUUUUAACCCGUCAGAAAUGUAGCUGCAUCUGACACAACCCCUUCGGGAGCUCCUCAAAUUGCAGCCUCCAUCCCACAUUGCAUUUAUUCCUCUAAUGGAUCCUAAAUGAGCAUUUGCCAGCAAGCCUAUUAUGUGUCCAUCAUUCUCCAGCUUUGCCUCCUAGCAUGCGUGCUGGUCCACUUUUUCUCACCGUUUUCACAACUUCAUCUGUUUCACACUCCCCCUUCACCCACUUAUUUCUUUCAACUGGCAAUUUCAAAGUGCAUGAGAAACAGCAGUGCUGUAUGCUGCUUGGGUCACUUAUAUAACCUGACAAUUCCCUUCAUUUAGAAAGGGAACUGCUAGAGGAACAACUUUCUAGGUUAUUAGUGUUUGCAUCGGCAAGAAAAUUUCCCCAUCCAAAUCCAAUAUAUCAUUCAAAGAGUUAUAGAUCUGUUAUGGCAAUU